CCUUCUUUGGUUGAUGGAAGAGAGGAAACUAUAAGGAAGGGUUUGUCAAACAGCCGGUUGCUUCAGGCAUUUUGAUUUCUCACCAGGAUUGUCUCUGAAUUACUGGGUUUAAGGGAACUUUUUUAAACUCAUAUAUAUCUAUAUUUUUUUUACUUAGAUUUUACUUAGAUUUUUUAAACUUAGAUUUCUCUUAAAACAAAUUUCAGUAAUAGAUUGAGCUUUCUUUCUUUCUUCUGCCAUUUUCCUUCCUCUUUUUCUUUUCUUCCUUCCUUAUUCCUUCAUUUCUUUUUUUUCUUCACAGUUUAGUCACAAGGUAUCCUUGAACAAAUCAAGAAUCCUACUUUGGAAGUACCAACUUGGUCUUUGGAAAUGUGAAAAAGAAGGAUACCUUGCUGCUUUGAUGGAUUUCCUUGCUAUGUGUGUAGCAGCUGGUGGAGUUGUCCGGAAUUGGUCAAAUAUCACUUUACUGGGUGGCUGCUGAAGCAUGAUCACAAGACAUUCAGAAUGACGGAUGAGUGCCUCUCAGGUCUCAGGAGUUUCAUAUGUUUGUGGAGCAAUUUGUGCGUAGGAAGACGAAAUGAAGCUGCCCAUUCUCUACUGUGA
rnacentral:lncRNA from 1 species